ACAGCAGCCGCCGCGGGAAUACGGAGGGUGCAAGCGUUAAUCGGAAUUACUGGGCGUAAAGCGCACGCAGGCGGUCUGACAAGUCAGAUGUGAAAUCCCCGGGCUUAACCUGGGAACUGCAUUUGAAACUGUCAGGCUGGAGUCUUGUAGAGGGGGGUGGAAUUCCAGGUGUAGCGGUGAAAUGCGUAGAGAUCUGGAGGAAUACCGGUGGCGAAGGCGGCCCCCUGGACAAAGACUGACGCUCAGGUGCGAAAGCGUGGGGAGCAAACAGGAUUAGAUACCCGGGUAGUCCCUGUCUCUUAUAC
rnacentral:rRNA from 1 species